UCUAAUUUGAUUCCUCUCCUCCAAAGCUGGUGCGACUUUACAGGGGGAUGUGGGGCUAAUAUGCAUUAUUACUUUUAUCCAGUGUAAGUAAGGCAGGCCAAUAAUUGUGCAAUGCUGGAGUUUUAUUGUUCCCAGCUGCUGCGAUCAUUACUAAACGUCAAAGAGAUGCAACAUUUCCUGUCGACCUAACGACAGUAAUCACUUCCCUCUCCCAGUGCUCUGUCUCCCCUCACUCCACUGAAAGCUCAGCCACACAUCCCAGCCUAGGAAGGUACAGAGAUGAGACUUCUUCAUCAUCUUUAUUGGAUUCAUCCUGCAAACCAAAUCAUGAGACGUUUCUGGGUGAGUUACAGAACCUGCUGAACUCUCGUAUUUGCUUUCAGAUGAAAGCCAAAAAAAAUUGUCAUGGGUAACAUUGAGGAGCUAGAGGUUGGCAGAAGCUUCAUGGGUAUCACAGCUAAGGUGAGAAGGAGAGAAGAAGAUCUGAGGGACAGCGUUAUGCAGUAAGUGGCACGAAGGGUUACAAGCUGGGGGCGGGAUAUCAUCAGGGAAUUAUAUGUUCAUAAAUGAGCUCCAAAUAUAGUUUCAGUUUGGAUGGAAGGGAUGGUUUUUCAGUCGGUCUUUGUGUUUUGUUUCCCUUUUUUCUUCAGUGAAGGUUUGAGAUGUCUAACAAUAUUUGCAAUUAUCUGGAAACAGGAAUUCAAAUUCAAUUCAUUUCAAAAAUAAUUAUUUUAUAAAUACUGCAGUGGUCCGUCUUACAGAUGAUCUGAAGAAGCCUCUGACUGAAGACACUGUUGUUGUACAACAGUCUCAUGAAGAGGAUGCUAAGGGUUCUCCAUAAUUUUUAGUAACAGAGCUACUCCAACCUGCUUCCACCUUGAGCAGCGCAAUUAGACCAGUCAUCAGUUUCAAGGUAUACUAAGGUUUCUAACUGCUUCCACAUUUCAUCACAUUACUCCUGUUAAUUAAAGUCAUCUUAAUGAAUUGCCAAAGUGAGUACCAGAGUGACCAGAACAAUGCAACUGUUCCUCCCACAACUGUUGCUGCACACUACUAUUAAGCUGGCUGAAAGACAGCUACUUUACCUUUUUCACCCACUCAAAAAAACUAAAUAAAUGUAAUAAAUAGUAUUUUAUAAGUGUUACAAUGCAUUAUCUUAGCAACUGCAUAUAUAAUAGUUGAUAUUCUUUCUUAAAAAAGCAAAGGCACAGCUGUUUUAAAAUGCUUUGGAAAUAUCACAACACUGUGGCAAUUUUACUCAAAGUAUUCAUUCCACAAGAAUCUCUUCUCUGGCCUUUGACUGCCUGAAAACCGCAUAAACUAUAUUUUUAUAUAACUCUAGAUUUAUCUGAUGUUGAAACUGAUUUAGUUUUUUUGCUGUUGUUGUUUUUUGCAACAAAAACAAAGGCAUGUUCACCACAGUGUACCUCUUUGACUUAGCAUACUUUCGGAAACUUUGAAUGUAAAAAUGCUUUCUGAUCAUAACCCACACCUCACCUAUGAUUUAAAAGAAAUUUCUAAUCAUGCUUUAUCACAUAACAGGACCAUUAUUAUUAUUUAUUUUAGUAUUAUUAUUGUUGUUUCCAUCGUAAAAUAUGUUAAUUAAUUCAUAAAAUAAGUACACUGGAAGGAAAACGGAUAUUUGGUUUUAAAGUGUUCUGUGAAUAAAAUCUCAAAAGUAUGAAAUGCAUUUGUAUGUAGCCCUUUUUAUUCUGAUGGCCCUAAAUAAUAGCUACACGUUGCUUUCAUCCUUAACUGACAAGGAUAGCAUCUGAGAUGCAGCCAAGUGGCCCAUGGUAACUCUGGAGGAGUUGCUAAGAUUAACAGCUCAGGUGAGAGAAUCUAAGCUAUAAGUUGUGCACUUUAUAAGUCUGGUCUUUGUGAAAGAGUGGCAGGAAAAAAGUCAAUGUUCAAAGGAAGCCAUAAGAAGACCUAUUUGUCAUUACUCAUGUAGGGGAUAUAGCUUACAUGUGGAAGAGCUACAACAGAAUGCUUUAGAUCAAAGCACAUUCAUGUUAGAAUGGCCCGGUCAAAGCCCAGACCUAAUCUAAUUCAGAAUCUGUGGUAAGUCAUGAAAGCUGUUCACAGACACUCUGAGUGAGCUCGAGCUGUUCUGCAAAAAGGACUGGAGAGAAAGUUCAGUCUCUAGACAUUCAAAUCUGGUAGAAACAUACACCAAAAAUUGCAGCUAUAACUGCAGCAGAUGAUGGUUUCUACAGAGUAUUGAUUCAGGGGAGCUGAACACAUAUGCAUGCAACACUUUCCAGAUUGUUAUUUGUUAAACCUUUGAAAUCAAUGUUUCACUUUAAGACUUUUAGCUGUUACUGCCGCUAAAUGCGCCUCUGCAGAGCAUCAACUCAGGAGACCUAAAUAACAAUUAACUUCUAUAACAUUUUUUCUUCAACCAUUAAAACCAACCACUAAAACUUUCUAAUAUAUCUGAGCUGUUGCAAACUAAAUAACCAAACAUUCUGUGAUCCACUUAUAUGCAUAUAUUAUUUUUCAGCUGUUUCCUUUGUCAAACACAGGCACACAUGUUGCGAUCGCAUGCACUACCUUAUUCAACACAUCUUGCAAACAAAUAUUCGCUCAUCCUUCAUCUGCAUUUGUGGAUUCAUUUUAAACUUUGCCUACCUUUUGAUCUGGGCUGUGGAUUGUAGUCCUGCCUUCUGUCCUGCUCCCUACACCCACAUACUGCCUGCAAAGAGAAUAAUUCAUUGUUUUUCAGCACUCAACAAAAGGGUUUGAGCUGAAAGAGCAGCUGCCUUCACAGUUAAUUUUACACUGCUGUUGUUCCAAGCAGCUCUGAUGAUUGGAGGUCUCCUCCUCGCUGCCUUUAUAUGAAAGAGGUGUGCUUAUUAAAAAUUAAUUGUGAUUAAAUUAGGCAAAAGGAUCAGAUGCCACAUCAAAAUGCAUGCUUGUUACAGUAACCAAAUACAGUAAAGUCUUUAAACUCUUUAUAACAAAAUUGCAACAACGAGUACGCUAGUUUUUCUAUCUUGCAUAAAUCUGACAUUAAACUCCCGAAGGGACAUAAAAACCUUUUGGUGGAUUUGGAUUAAACAUGACAUUUUAUUUAUGGUCUUGUUUUAUUUGAAAUCUAUUGACCUACAUUUUUGCAAUUUAAAUUAAGCAAAGCAUAUAAAAUUAUCAUUAUACGAGUGAUUUAUGUUUUAUUAUACUUUGCCACAUAAAGAGAUUGAAUAAUUAACGAGAAAUAAUCCUGGGAAAAAUCAGUUUGAAUUAAAUGGAUUUGGCUUUUAGAAUAGGAAUCACAGGGAGUUCUGUUGAUCUCUGUUAACUGGUUGCUUAUGUUGGGACCCACAGCCAUGGAUACAACAUUAAACUCCGGUACGGACAUUUCUGGAACUUUCAAAAUAAAGUGCAUUAACCUUCUUCCAGCACAGCCAGGAAAUGGGAUAACUGCGGACUUCCUGUGAUGCCAUUACCCAAAUAAAAGCACAGCUGUUGCUACAUCCGCCCUCUUCCACACGGCAGAGACCCCAUCACCAUGGUAACGAGACGUUCUUCCUCCACAGCUGGAGGCUAGCGGGAAGCUAACCCUUUGUUCACUGUGGAUACCUUCUUCAAACUUCAUCGUCGCUUGGACAACAUUCCUCACCACAGCUUAUGAGAUUAAGUGUUUUG